rnacentral:misc_RNA from 1 species
AAGUCGUAACAAGGUUUCCGUAGGUGAACCUGCGGAAGGAUCAUUAUAGAAUUGGUAGCUUGCUACCUUCACUAUAACAUACUGUUCACAUUCCUGUUGCUUCCCUAGCAUUUAGGAGGUUUGCUCUUCUGAGCUUGCUUCCGCUAGGGAACUUUAGUGAAAAAUAUUGUGUAUUUAUUCUGAAUAAACCAUUAAAAUGGAUAUUAAAACUUUCAACAACGGAUCUCUAGGCUCUU